GACGAAGGGGGCUAGCGUUGUUCGGAAUUACUGGGCGUAAAGCGCGUGUAGGCGGUUGGCCUAGUCAGGUGUGAAAGCCUUGAGCUUAACUCAAGAAAUGCACUUGAUACUGGGUGACUAGAGGACCGGAGAGGAUAGUGGAAUUCCCAGUGUAGUGGUGAAAUACGUAGAGAUUGGGAAGAACACCAGUGGCGAAGGCGGCUAUCUGGACGGUUACUGACGCUAAGACGCGAAAGCGUGGGGAGCAAACAGG
rnacentral:rRNA from 1 species